rnacentral:rRNA from 1 species
UACGGAGGGUGCGAGCGUUGUCCGGAAUCACUGGGCGUAAGGGGCGCGUAGGUGGCCUGUGGAAGUCUGCGGUGAAAGCCCGGCGCUCAACGCCGGGUCGGCCGUGGAUACUCUCGGGCUCGAGCUUACUAGAGGCAGAUGGAAUUCCGGGUGUAGCGGUGGAAUGCGUAGAGAUCCGGAAGAACACCGAUAGCGAAGGCAGCCUGCCAGGCAACAACUGACGCUGAGGCACGAAAGUGCGGGGAUCAAACAGG